rnacentral:rRNA from 1 species
AUUGAACGCUGGCGGCAUGCCUUACACAUGCAAGUCGAACGGUAACAGGUCUUCGGAUGCUGACGAGUGGCGAACGGGUGAGUAAUACAUCGGAACGUGCCUAGUAGUGGGGGAUAACUACACGAAAGAGUGGCUAAUACCGCAUGAGAUCUACGGAUGAAAGCAGGGGAUCGCAAGACCUUGUGCUACUAGAGCGGCCGAUGGCAGAUUAGGGAGUUGGUGGGAUGAAAGCUUACCAAGCCGACGAUCUGUAGCUGGUCUGAGAGGACGAUCAGCCACACUGGGACUGAGACACGGCCCAGACGCCUACGGGGGGCAGCAGUGGGGAAUUUUGGACAAUGGGCGAAAGCCUGAUCCAGCAAUGCCGCGUGCAGGAUGAAGGCCUUCGGGUUGUAAACUGCUUUUGUACGGAACGAAAAGCCCCGGGUUAAUACCCUGGGGUCAUGACGGUACCGUAAGAAUAAGCACCGGCUAACUACGUGCCAGCCGCCGCCGUAA